rnacentral:rRNA from 1 species
UACGUAGGGGGCGAGCGUUGUCCGGAAUUAUUGGGCGUAAAGAGCGUGUAGGCGGUUCGGUAAGUCUGCCGUGAAAACCUGGGGUUCAACCCCGGGCGUGCGGUGGAUACUGCCGGGCUAGAGGGUGGUAGAGGCGAGUGGAAUUCCCGGUGUAGCGGUGAAAUGCGCAGAUAUCAGGAGGAACACCGGUGGCGAAGGCGGAUCUCUGGGCCUUACCUGACGCUGAGGCGCGAAAGCUAGGGGAGCGAACAGG